GAUGAACGCUGGCGGCGUGCUUAACACAUGCAAGUCGAACGGAAAGGCCCAAGCUUGCUUGGGUACUCGAGUGGCGAACGGGUGAGUAACACGUGGGUGAUCUGCCCUGCACUUCGGGAUAAGCCUGGGAAACUGGGUCUAAUACCGGAUAGGACCACAUUUUGGAUGGUGUGGUGGAAAGUUUUUCGGUGUGGGAUGAGCUCGCGGCCUAUCAGCUUGUUGGUGGGGUAAUGGCCUACCAAGGCGUCGACGGGUAGCCGGCCUGAGAGGGUGUACGGCCAUAUUGGGACUGAGAUACGGCCCAGACUCCUACGGGAGGCAGCAGUGGGGAAUAUUGCACAAUGGGCGCAAGCCUGAUGCAGCGACGCCGCGUGGGGGAUGACGGCCUUCGGGUUGUAAACUCCUUUCGCUAGGGACGAAGCGCAAGUGACGGUACCUGGAGAAGAAGCACCGGCUAACUACGUG
rnacentral:rRNA from 1 species